GACCGCUUAGCUCAGUCAGUGGAGCAUAAGGCUCUUAAUCUCAGGGUUGUGGGUCUGAGCCCCAUGGUGGGCA